rnacentral:tRNA from 1 species
GGCUGAAUCGGAUAGUGGUUAUUCCGUUGCUUUGCUAGUGCCAGAAUCGGACAGGCAAUGCCUUCGUGGCUCGAGAGUUCGAAUCUCUCUUCAGUCG